rnacentral:piRNA from 1 species
UAGGCAGAAGACAAUAUGAGAGGUGGUCUC